CCUACGGGAGGCAGCAGUGAGGAAUAUUGGUCAAUGGCCGGAAGGCUGAACCAGCCAAGCCGCGUGAAGGACGAAGGUGCCAAGCAUUGUAAACUUCUUUUGUCAAGGGACAAAAUCAGGCUCGAGAGCCUGACCGAGGGUACUUGAAGAAAAAGCAUCGGCUAACUCCGUGCCAGCAGCCGCGGUAAUACGGAGGAUCCGAGCGUUAUCCGGAUUUAUUGGGUUUAAAGGGAGCGUAGAUGGGUUGUUAAGUCAGUUGUGAAAGUUUGCGGCUCAACCGUAAAAUUGCAAUUGAUACUGGCAGUCUUGAGUACAGUUGAGGUAGGCGGAAUUCGUGGUGUAGCGGUGAAAUGCUUAGAUAUUGCGCAGAACUCCGAUUGCGAAGGCAGCAUACCGGCGGCGAUCUGACGCUGAGGCACGAAAGCGUGGGUAUCGAACAGGAUUAGAUACCCUUGUAGUC
rnacentral:rRNA from 1 species